rnacentral:lncRNA from 1 species
UAGUAAAUAAAACUGAAGUCAUUCCCGGAAUGUCCGAUCAUGAAAUUGUUUAUAUUGAAUCCAACUUAAAACCUAGAAGAGCAAAAAAACCACCUAGAAAAGUUUUCCUAUACAAAAAAGCAAAUACUGAACAAAUUAAAGAAAAGCUAAAUGACAUACAUCUUAACAAUAUUACAAACCUAGAAAAUCUUACAAUGGACGAACUUUGGGAUAAUUUCAAAACAAAGCUAUUAAAAACCAUGGAAGAGUCAAUCCCUACUAAAAUAUAAAUAACACCAAACAAAAACUACCAUGGAUUAAUAAAGAAAUAAAGUCACUGAUUAGAAAAAGGAACAAAUUGUUCAAAAAAAUGAAAACAGACUCGCAUAGUAAAAUAAAUAAACAGUACAGGGAAACAAAAAAACUGCUUCAGAAAGAGACAAGAAAAGCUUACUGGACAUAUCUGGAAAACAUCAUUUGUUACGACGAAAGCUUACAAACCUCGCAAAAACAGAAAAAAAUUUGGAAUUAUAUCAGGUCCACCAAAAAAGACAGUUCAGGAGUUGCACCAUUAAGAUCUGAAGGUAUGCUGAUAGACGAC